GCUCGAGUGGCGAACGGGUGAGUAACACGUGAGUAACCUGCCCUUGACUUUGGGAUAACUUCAGGAAACUGGGGCUAAUACCGGAUAGGAGCUCCUGCUGCAUUGUGGGGGUUGGAAAGUUUCGGCGGUUGGGGAUGGACUCGCGGCUUAUCAGCUUGUUGGUGGGGUAGUGGCUUACCAAGGCUUUGACGGGUAGCCGGCCUGAGAGGGUGACCGGCCACAUUGGGACUGAGAUACGGCCCAG
rnacentral:rRNA from 1 species